UAACUAAGUGCCGCGGCGGGCGCCCCGUGCAGUUGCACGGCUCGCCCGCCCCUAGAAACGGCACUGUAUACAUUGAUAUGGCACCCAGGCAGUGUGUGCUGUAUGCGCCGGAGGGCGCCGCCUGAUGACGUCAUGGGCCCCGUUCGGCUGUGUGAGGAUAAGUGACAGGCGGGAAGACCCGCGAUGCAGAAGGCUGGCAUCCUCCAGGUGAGACAGGAACAACUAUUGGAGAAAAGGCAUCACUUAGAAGAAGAUCUGUCAUCUGAGAAUCGUUGGACUUAUUGGUUUGACCUUUUACAUUUGAGGUAGAGAAAGUAAUGACCAAAAUGGCCUAAGACUGCUCAAGCAUGAUAUUUGUAUGAAGACCUGGACAGCAGAUGCCUCUUACUCACUAAGAGUAAUCCUUCAGCACUCAGGAGAUGAAAAACCCCCUGGAAAACCUUUAGGGAACCAUGGCUGAAAGACUGGCCCUUCCCUCUGGGCAUAAAGAGACUGUGCAGAGAGGCUUAGAAAACAUCCAGUGAUGAGACAGACUCACUUUAUUUGUAACCUUGAUUUUUCCCAGUUAUGCUGAUUACAGCUAAAAAGAAAAUAUAGCUAAAUAAAGCACAUUAAAAGUCA